UACGUAGGGUCCGAGCGUUGUCCGGAAUUAUUGGGCGUAAAGGGCUCGUAGGCGGUUUGUCGCGUCGGGUGUGAAAACUCAGGGCUCAACCCUGAGCGUGCUUCCGAUACGGGCAGACUAGAGGUAUGCAGGGGAGAACGGAAUUCCUGGUGUAGCGGUGGAAUGCGCAGAUAUCAGGAGGAACACCGGUGGCGAAGGCGGGUCUCUGGGCCGUAACUGACGCUGAGGAGCGAAAGCGUGGGGAGCGAACAGG
rnacentral:rRNA from 1 species